UCAUUUUCCUAGAGCUGGCAACAUUACUUGCACUGAAGGGACCAACUGCUUUCUCAGCCAUAUUUACUUUUACAGACACACAUGGAGAAUGCAUACCCUGGUUCAAAUGUCCUGAUUGUAACGUUGACCAAUGGGGAAUCGAAACAAAUCGAGUCUCAAUCGAAAAUGGCCAAGGCAUGCAAUGGAGGCAAUGGAUAUGUCCUCACGGCGAUGCUGCUAAGCCCUAAAGAUCUGUCAUGCCAGAUCUGAAUUUUGGAGGGAAUUGAUUUAGGUAUAUGUAAUGAUGGUUCAUUGGAGGAAGAAAUGAGAGAGAAAGUGCAGAGGUAUACUUUGCAUUCUAAUUGUCAUGUUUACUUUUUUUAUAAUAACAAUUAAAAAAAAAAAACUUUCAUCCAA